AUACGGAGGGUGCGAGCGUUAAUCGGAAUUACUGGGCGUAAAGCGUACGUAGGCGGUUGGUUAAGUUAGAUGUGAAAGCCCCGGGCUUAACCUGGGAACUGCAUUUAAAACUGGCGAACUAGAGUUGAGUAGAGGGGAGUGGAAUUUCAGGUGUAGCGGUGAAAUGCGUAGAGAUCUGAAGGAACACCAGUGGCGAAGGCGUCUCCCUGGACUCGAACUGACGCUGAGGUACGAAAGCGUGGGUAGCAAACGGGAUUAGAAACCCUUGUAGUCC
rnacentral:rRNA from 1 species